GUAAAAAAAGGGUAGGAAGAAUGGCAGGAAAAGCAAAAAAGAAAAGGAAAUACAGACGAAAACAAAAAGAAGAAAGGCAAGGAGAAGAGCAUACUAAAGUAACAGAUUUUGUAUUCAAUGGGAAGGAGGGAAGCAGAGGGGGGAAUAAAAGACAAAGGGGAAGAAUGGGAGAAAAAAAAGCGAAUUCUCUCCUUAUUAAAGGAGGGGUAUGUGGGGGAUUUAAAAAAGGUUUUCGAAAACAGGGGAAAGUGGCAAAGAGAAGGAAAAGUCGAGUGUAUUGAUGGCCUGUAAAGGGAAAGAAAUAGACAUGCGGGGAAAAUCCUAGAGUCCUGGAGGCGGGUAGGUAAAACGGAAGGGUAGCAAAGGGGUAAUCUAACAAUAAAUGGGGAGUAAAAGAAAAAGAAUAAGGGGGUGACAUUUUUUUUUAGGAGAAAAAAGCCAAUCAUUUUGAUUUAAUGAGUUUGUGGGAGAGACUAGGGGGUGAGCUUAUUGAGAAAUAGUGGUGGGUACAUGUACAAUAGUUGGGUGAAAUGUGAUAGGAUGAUAAAUAUGACCGUAAUUUAGGGUUGCUAGUAUCAGGGAGAUCUUGGAUACAGAGAGAUAUGGGAGAAAUGGGAUAUCGUUGAUGUAGGAAUUAGUUCGUAGGAGGGUAAAUGGAGCCUUCAUAGUGAAGAAGGAGGAAGAGAAGAGAUGAUAAAGAGAAAAGAGUGAAAGGUAGGAUGAAGGGGAGAGAAAAAAAGGGAGUAAAUGCUGGGUAGUUGAUAGGGAAGGCACGUAAUAGUCAGGUGGUGAGGGAGGGUGAGAGGGAGGGAAAUGCUGUUAGAAGGGCUGGUAAUGACGGAAGACGAUGGAAAAAAGAAAAGGUCCUGAGGGAAGGGUGAAACGGAAAAAAGAUGUUUGUAUUGGAAUGAUAAAAAGGGGGGGGGGGGAAAGACUUGAAUCGUACGGGAGCCAGCGGCGGGGGGUUCGAAACCGUAAGGGUGGGAACUCAAAGGAGACUGCCGGUGACAAAGCCGGAGGAAGGUGGGGAUGACGUCAAGUCAUCAUGGCCCUUACGAGCAGGGCUACACACGUGCUACAAUGGCAGAUACAAAGAGAAGCCAAGUCGCGAGAGGCGAAGCGGAACUCAUAAAGUCGAUCCGUAGUCCCGGAUUCGGCAGUCGGAAUUUGGUCGAGUGU
rnacentral:misc_RNA from 1 species